CGGAGGGUGCGAGCGUUGUCCGGAAUCACUGGGCGUAAAGGGCGCGUAGGCGGCCGUGUAAGUCACUUGUGAAAUCCCGGGGCUCAACUCCGGGGCUGCAGGUGAGACUGCGUGGCUAGAGCUCGGUAGAGGCAAGUGGAAUUCCCGGUGUAGCGGUGGAAUGCGUAGAUAUCGGGAAGAACACCGGUGGCGAAGGCGGCUUGCUGGGCCGAUGCUGACGCUGAUGCGCGAAAGCGUGGGGAGCAAACAGGAUUAGAUACCCUGGUAGUCCACGCCGUAAACGAUGGGUACUAGGCGUCGGGGGAGCGACCCCCUCGGUGCCGUCGCUAACGCAGUAAGUACCCCGCCUGGGGAGUACGGUCGCAAGACUG
rnacentral:rRNA from 1 species